AAGGAUAUAACUCAGUGGUAGAGUGUCACCCCCUAAAGUAGGUGAAAGCCAUCAGUUCGAGUCUGAUUAUCCCCA
rnacentral:tRNA from 1 species